rnacentral:rRNA from 1 species
CACGGGGGGAGCAAGCGUUGUUCGGAUUCAUUGGGCGUAAAGAGCUCGUAGGCCGCUCUGUAAGUCUGACGUGAAAUCCCCGGGCUUAACCUGGGAAUUGCGUUGGAGACUGCAAGGCUGGAGUCUGGCAGAGGGGGGUAGAAUUCCACGUGUAGCAGUGAAAUGCGUAGAGAUGUGGAGGAACACCGAUGGCGAAGGCAGCCCCCUGGGUCAAGCACUGACGCUCAUGCACGAAAGCGUGGGGAGCAAACAGG